rnacentral:rRNA from 1 species
UACGUAGGGUGCAAGCGUUGUCCGGAAUUAUUGGGCGUAAAGGGCUCGUAGGCGGUUUGUCGCGUCGGGAGUGAAAACUCAGGGCUUAACCCUGAGCCUGCUUCCGAUACGGGCAGACUAGAGGUAUGCAGGGGAGAAUGGAACUCCUGGUGUAGCGGUGAAAUGCGCAGAUAUCAGGAGGAACACCGGUGGCGAAGGCGGUUCUCUGGGCAUUACCUGACGCUGAGGAGCGAAAGUGUGGGGAGCGAACAGG